AAGCGGAGGAAAAGAAACCAACAGGGAUUGCCCCAGUAGCGAAGCGGCAAGAGCUCAGAUUUGAAAUCUGGCCCCCCGGGUCCGAGUUGUAAUCUGCAGGGGAGCCUUGGCUGCGGCUGCUAAGUCCCUGGAACGGGCGCCAGGAGGGUGAGAGCCCCGUGGGUGGCCGCGGGUCUGUAUGCUCCUCCGACGAGUCGAGUAGUUUGGGAAUGCUGCUCUAAACGGGAGGUAAUCCUUCUAAAGCUAAAUACCGGCCGGAGACCGAUAGCGCACAAGUAGAGUGAUCGAAAGGUGAAAAGCACUUUGGAAAGAGAGUGAAAAGUACGUGAAAUUGUUGCAGGGGAAGCGCUUGACCAGUCGCGGCCGGGGCCCAGCCGUGUUCCUCGCGGCGCGCGCCCCCGGUUCGGGUCAGCACCGGCUCGCGGGAAGGUCGGGAACGUGGCCCCCUCGGCGGGGUGUUAUAGCCCGGUCCGCGGGGGGCCGAGGAUCCGCGCCGGCCAGGGUGCUGGCAUAAUGGUCAUCAGCGUCCCGUCUUGAAACACGGACCAAGGAGUCACAUUUGCGAGUGUUGGGUGUAAACCCGCCGCGAAUGAAAGUGAAUUUUCGGGUAGGAACCCCGGGUGCACUACCGACCGGGCCCGAAGCUCUGCGGAGGGACCUGAGUAGAGCGAGUGGACCCGAAAGAUUGCGAACUAUGCUGGUAGGGUGAAGCCAGAGGAAACUCUGGUGGAGGCUCGCAGCGGUUCUGACGUGCAAAUCGAUCGUCAAACUGGCAUGGGGGCGAAAGACUAAUCGAGCAAUCUAGUAGCUGGGUGCCGCCGAAGUUUCCCUCAGGAUAGCAGUGUUGGUCUCAGUUUUAUGAGGUAAAGCGAAUGAUUAGGGACUCGGGGGCGCUUUUAGCCUUCAUCCAUUCUCAAACUUUAAAUAUGUAAGAAGCGCCCGUUCUUAGCUGAACGGGCGC
rnacentral:rRNA from 1 species